GCUAGUCGAGCGUCUCCUAGCCAUGGUGGAGGCGCGGCGUACAGCUCAGUAACACGUGGCUAACCUACCCUUGGGACGGGAACACCCCCGGGAAACCACGCGCAGACCUUGACGACAUAAACAUAAAUUCUCAAAAAUCCAAAAACCCCAUAACAUAAACAAAUACUUUACUACACCGCCUUGCUGAUUUCUAAGCUGGCAAAGGCUAUCUUAAACUAACCAAAACUCGCACACAACUUUCUAAGAAUAGAAACUUAAGGUUCUGGCGUAGCCCAAAACUGGGGUUAAUUCUCGAUGGGUGAGGAGGCCUGGAAUGGUUCUUCACUGAAAGGGCGUUAGAGGCAUGCUCUCUAACGUUGCCCAAGGAUGGGGCCGCGGCCGAUCAGGUUGUUGGUGAGGUAACGGCUUACCAAGCCUAUAACCGGUACGGGCCGUGAGAGCGGAAGCCCGGAGAUGGGCACUGAGAUAAGGGCCCAGGCCCUACGGGGCGCAGCAGUUGCGAAAACUCCGCAAUGCACGAAAGUGUGACGGGGCUACCCCGAGUGCCGUCCGCUGAGGAUGGCUUUUCUCCGCUGUAAGGAGGCGGAGGAAUAAGGAGAGGGCAAGACUGGUGUCAGCCGCCGCGGUAAUACCAGCUCUCCGAGUGGUAGGGGUGAUUAUUGGGCUUAAAGCGUCCGUAGCCGGCCUGGCAAGUCUUCCGUUAAAUCCAGCAACCUAAUUGUUGGGCUGCGGGGGAUACUGUUA
rnacentral:rRNA from 1 species